AGUCUACUGUAACCCCUGUGGAAGGAAGUUAGAAUUUCUCCUACGAGACUGAAUGAGGAAGGGGUCAGGCAUCCGCGGCUCCCUAAAACACGUCUGGCUUCGAGAGCCGAAGACCUGGGCACUUCCGUUCCCGGCUGCCCCGAGACCGGAAGCGGAACUGCGCGGCGGCGGCGGACGUCUGCGGCCGUGCGGGACUGCGCGGCUCGCGACGGUGGGAGUGUCUCCGGCCGGUCUGCAGGGAGGACAUCUACUGAGAUCUUGAACCCUGGAGCUGAUGUCAUGGAGUCAGUCACCUUUGAGGAUGUGGCCAUGGGGCUCAUGCAGGAGCGGGCAUUGCUGGAUGAGGUGCGGAGGGACCUGUGCAGACACCUGAUACUGGACGACUGCCAGACCCUGACCUGCAGGGACUGGGGAUCUCAGUGCAGAUGUAAAGAGUCAGCGUCUUUGCAGGGUACACUGGAAGACAUACCAUCCAGUGACAUGCAGAUGGUAAGAUUUCUGGGAUUAUCCCUAGCUCCCUAUUGCAGAAAAGUUGAAGAGUCUGUGAACUGGAAAACCAGCACCAGAACCAGGGAGACCUUUGGGGCAGGGGAAUCUCCUCAAAGGGGAGCCAUGUCAGAGGGGAGGUGUGACUUCUGAAUUUGGGCAAAUCGCAACUGUCUUCAUUCUAGAAGUUUUUCCCAAGUACACAUUUCCAUCAGUGAGUCAGACAUUGAGUGUGUAAAAUGUGAUUUACCUCUCUCUCUUUUUAAAAAAUUUUGAAUUUGUCCUUUUUAGUUACACAUGACAGCAGAAUGUGUUUUGACAUAUUGUACAUACAUGGUAUGGCUUACUUCGCAACAAUGAUCAGAAAAACGUUGCCUGGUGUAGAAGCCCCAUGAAAACCACGAA